rnacentral:rRNA from 1 species
CUCAGUUCGGAUCGGAGUCUGCAACCCGACUCCGUGAAGCUGGAUUCGCUAGUAAUCGCGCAUCAGCCAUGGCGCGGUGAAUACGUUCCCGGGCCUUGUACACACCGCCCGUCAAGCCAUGGAAGCCGGGGGCGCUUGAAGUGCGUCGCCGCAAGGCGCGCCCUAGAGCGAAACCGGUGACUGGGGCUAAGUCGUAACAAGGUACC